rnacentral:lncRNA from 1 species
UGGGCGUGUAGGUGGGUUGGUGAUUUUUUUCAGACUUGAAGCUUUUCUUCAGACUUGGGCUCUUGCCUGAAAACCAAAACCAGGAGCUGAAAGCACAUUGUCCACCCUGCCCAAAGGAGGAUUGCAGCAGUUUGACCUUGUCCAUUCAAUUUUUGGCUUCAGAGAACUCCAGCUUAUGUAACUAAACUCUUGACACAAAGCAUACACAGCAGUUGCUCUUUACAUGCCUUUGAGAAACAGCUGCUUGGGAGGACAGAGAUGGCAACAGAAGAUGGCACUGUGCAUAAGGUAAGUUUUAAGAGCAACUGCGGGGCUCAUCCCAGGGGAUGCACAGAGCCAAGCUUGGCACUUGGCUUUAUGUAAGACUGCAGAAGUGGUUGGGAUCACACACCUGCAAAGAUGAAGUGCAAACACAGCAGCAUGCACCACGCUU